AUUGAACGCUGGCGGCAGGCUUAACACAUGCAAGUCGAGCGGGGUGAUGGUGCUUGCACUAUCACCUAGCGGCGGACGGGUGAGUAAUGCUUAGGAAUCUGCCUAUUAGUGGGGGACAACAUUUCGAAAGGAAUGCUAAUACCGCAUACGUCCUACGGGAGAAAGCAGGGGAUCUUCGGACCUUGCGCUAAUAGAUGAGCCUAAGUCGGAUUAGCUAGUUGGUGGGGUAAAGGCCUACCAAGGCGACGAUCUGUAGCGGGUCUGAGAGGAUGAUCCGCCACACUGGGACUGAGACACGGCCCAGACUCCUACGGGAGGUAGCAGUGGGGAAUAUUGGACAAUGGGCGCAAGCCUGAUCCAGCCAUGCCGCGUGUGUGAAGAAGGCCUUAUGGUUGUAAAGCACUUUAAGCGAGGAGGAGGCUACUUUAGAUAAUACCUAGAGAUAGUGGACGUUACUCGCAGAAUAAGCACCGGCUAACUCUGUGCCAGCAGCCGCAGUAAAAC
rnacentral:rRNA from 1 species